CGCGUAGGCGGCCUAAUAAGUCAGGCGUGAAAUCCCAUGGCUCAACCAUGGAAUUGCGUUUGAUACUGUCAGGCUUGAGUACAGGAGAGGAGAGUGGAAUUCCUAGUGUAGCGGUGAAAUGCGCAGAUAUUAGGAGGAACACCAGUGGCGAAGGCGACUCUCUGGCCUGAUACUGACGCUGAGGUGCGAAAGCGUGGGGAGCAAACG
rnacentral:rRNA from 1 species